GAGGGCAUAGCUCAGUGGUAGAGCACAUGCUUAGCAUGCAUGAGGUCCUGGGUUCAAUCCCCAGUAUCCCCA
rnacentral:tRNA from 1 species